rnacentral:rRNA from 1 species
GACGAAGGAUGCAAGCGUUAUCCGGAUUCAUUGGGUUUAAAGGGUGCGUAGGCGGCCCUGUAAGUCAGUGGUGAAAGCCCGCAGCUUAACUGCGGAACUGCCAUUGAUACUGCAAGGCUUGAGUACAGAUGAUGUUGGCGGAAUAUGACAUGUAGCGGUGAAAUGCAUAGAUAUGUCAUAGAACACCGAUUGCGAAGGCAGCUGACAAAACUGUAACUGACGCUGAGGCACGAAAGUGUGGGGAUCAAACAGG